ensembl:lncRNA
UGCUAUAAAAUGCCAACAAUUUUGCUCUUAAUAGAAAAUCAUUUGUAUUGGAAUUCACUUUGCAUUAAAAAAGACAAAAAUGAAUAAAUGAGGACUGAUCAUGGCAAUUUAAUUAAUAAGCUCAUAAAAAUAGUUUUGACAAGAUGGAGAAUCAGUUUUCUUCUUGGGAGGAGAUAAAAGACUGAAUUCACCAGGCUUUAAGAGUUUAAAAAUAUGGAAACAAAACCAAAGUGACAGAUGGCAGAUAAGUGGUGAUGAAGAAUGGGCAUGGAAUACCUGAUGGCAAAAUGGUACAAGAAGAGCUCUGGGAGGACGAGAAUGGUGGCUCAGUGGUAAAGAAUCUGGCUGCUAAUGCAGGAGAUGUGGUCCUAUCCCUGGGUCAGGAAGAGCCCCUGGAGGAGGAAAUGGCAACACAUUCCAGUAUUCUUGCCUGGGAAACCAAAUGGACAGAGGAGCCUGGAGGGAUACAGUCCAUAAGGUCGCAAGAGUUGGAUGUGACUGAGC